GACGAACGCUGGCGGCGUGCUUAACACAUGCAAGUCGAACGGAAAGGCCCUGCUUUUGUGGGGUGCUCGAGUGGCGAACGGGUGAGUAACACGUGAGUAAACUGCCCCUGACUUUGGGAUAACUUCAGGAAACUGGGGCUAAUACCGGAUAGGAGCUCCUGCUGCACGGUGGGGGUUGGAAAGUUUCGGCGGUUGGGGAUGGACUCGCGGCUUAUCAGCUUGUUGGUGGGGUAGUGGCUUACCAAGGCUUUGACGGGUAGCCGGCCUGAGAGGGUGACCGGCCACAUUGGGACUGAGAUACGGCCCAGACGCCUACGGGAGGCAGCAGUGGGGAAUAUUGCACAAUGGGCGGAAGCCUGAUGCAGCAACGCCGCGUGCGGGAUGACGGCCUUCGGGGUGUAAACCGCUUUCGCCUGUGACGAAGCGUGAGUGACGGUAAUGGGUAAAGAAGCACCGGCUAACUACGUG
rnacentral:rRNA from 1 species